ACGUUCAGCAGGGGUGCAGCACCACGAUCAUCUCUAUAAAAAAUGGCCACUAAUCCUUGAAAUAUUGUGGUAAACUGAAGUUACCAAUUAGAAGUCAUUACUCAAACACCUCUAAAGUUCUGGAUUUCUACAGGACCACAAUCCCACAAGAAUACCCUCCACCAUCAAUGUCGAAUAUCAUAAAUAUAAGUAUUUCUGACACCAGGUUUGAAAUUUUGCACAAUUUCUUUAUUUUGAAUUUAAUAUAUUCAUUACGAUUA